rnacentral:lncRNA from 1 species
CCUGUAGCAACUAGAUAUCAGUAUGAAGAGAAAAACAUGAACCUUGAACUCCUACCUCAUACCACAAGUAAAAAUUAAUUUGAGGUGAAUUACAGACCAAAAUGUGAAUGCUAAUAUAUUCAAAAUGCUAAAGUAUUCAAAUUUUAAGAAAAAAGCAAAUACAAAUGUAUAUGACUUUUAAAUAAGCAAAUAACUUGUAAAUAGGACAUCAAAAACACUAAACAUAAAAGAAAAAACAUUGGCAAGCAAAUUUAACUUCUUUAAGAGCUUUUCUUCAUCAAAAAGCAUCAUUAAAAACGUAUGCAGACAUUGUAAAAGAUGGAGGUUUCCUAAGUUCAGGGUUCCUCUGCUGUGGCACAAACUGGUUGGCUGUUUCACACUGCCCCCAUGGAACUUGGGGGGCAAGGAGAACAGAGGCAAACAUGAAGCUCACAAUGCCUGCUGUGACAUCAAUGCCUACAGUGUAACAAUGUCCUUUGUCUCUGACCCAGGCAUCUCUUGUCUUCUUCCAGAAACCAUGACACUAUGGCAGGCCAACUUACUAGCUUUCAAGUAAGGUAACAUCUCAGACCAUCAUAGGUUUUGACAGGGGAAACUCUGAAGGACCACAGGAGUUGGAGGUUCCACGUAUCUCUAAGUAGUAACAUACGAUGGGUCCAAAACAGAAGAAAGAGAACUCAAGAUUCCCGAGCCACAGAGCUGUUGAUUGGAGGCUGACUCAGAGAAACCCUGGAUUCAGUGACAUACAGAGACAACAGGGACUUAAUCGCCUUCUGGACAAACAUAAUCUAUGCGACCUCCUCCCCAUAAGGUACAGGAUCAGUAUGGGUUUUAAUUGAGGGGCUCGGCACCAAAUGACAGACUUGACACAUCCACCCCCACCAUGGAUGCUGUCCGUCCACUGUUGCACAAUGUCCUUCAGUGUCUAAUUUACAGAUCCAGCUGUAUUUCCCCUUCCACCUGCAUCCCUGAAGUUCCUCCCACCUGAAAACUUCACCUGACCCAAGAAAGCAAAGGAAAAAACCCGGAGAGCCAGCUCAUAGUCUGGUUCACUGUUUAACAGCCAGAAGCCAGAGCCUGCGUACUAGAAGUGGAUGCCCAGGAAGUACUUGUGAGCUGACUAAGAAUGUAAGAACGCCACCCACUUCAUUCAGGAAAGUGAGGCAGGAUUCCAUGGAGUAUGAAUGACUGCACAUGGAACAAGCAGGUUAUCAUUUAUAUUCAGCAAGGGACCUCCAUGAACAGGACAUUUGGGGAGCUGCUAUCAAACAUCAGAACUUCUGACACUGUGCACACAGUCUUAUAUUGUGCCUUGUCUGUUGUGAUGUCUCACUACAGUAAUGAUUAAGAUGAUGAGCACUUAUGCGUUGAUAUUGCAAUAUGUCUGCGUAAGAACUAUCGCUAAGGCAGGUUAUAUUAUUACCCUCAGUGUAUAGGUAAGGAGGUUAGACUGAUAACUUACCCAGUGUCACAUAGGUAGUAAUGGCCAAACUAGAGUUGGAACCUGUCUGCCUACUCUCCAAGCUCAGGAUUGACUUGAGCACAAGGUCAAUGGAGGACCAGCCCUGUAAGAUUUGGAAGUGCAACACAGAAGCUCCAGGAAGGAUCCCUAGCUUCAGGGGAAUUUUGAUUCUCUCAGAGAGAAUAUUGUUCUUUCAUAAUAUCAUCUGCUUUGGAAAGAGUAUUCAAUUCCACAAUGCCAACAAUGAUCGCAUAGUACCUCUGUGGAGGGCAAGACCAACAUGAGCAGCAGAAGCCCUGGAGGGCUUCCUGGAGGAGGUGACUUUAGCGACACCUUCAAAACCAUGACAACGUGCACCUGGGUCUUUCUGAGGAGGACAGUGAACACUAGGAGAGGAGGGAAGUGAAAGGAGAAGCCGGGCAUGGGUGGGACUAGGCCAGAGCCCAGUGUGGUGACCACAGGGCCUCAGCAGUGCUAGGUAGACAGUGGGGUGUCACACUGCAGAGCCCCCAGAAGCCAAACAGAGGAGGCUAACUUUGAACAGAGCGGAGAGUCACCAUGGUGGUCAUCUUGAACAGGAGGGUGUUUCUAAAAAAGGGAGGUUUGGGGGAUUGCCCUGACAGAAAAUUGGAGAUGGGGGAGGUUCUUUUAAUAUGGUGAGGACAAGGAGUGGCUGGAACUGAAGCAUGUCUAGGACAAGGGCUGUUUUGUCUCUUGCACAAAUCCUGUGUUUAGUACCUGCAGUCUGCUCGUUAAUAAAGUGUAUGCUUAAGUUAAUGACAUUCAUUUUUAACCCUGGUCUCAGGCCAAUCAUGUUCACAGCCAAGGCCAUUUCCUAACAUUCGUAACUCCCUAAAGAAUAAAAUGAAGGAAGUGUAAGAUCAUUCUUUCUGAUGCCUAUGGACAAGCUCAGUGAUGUGAAAUUCGCUUUCCCUUUGGUGGU